rnacentral:rRNA from 1 species
CGGACGGGUGAGUAACGCGUGGGUAACCUGCCUCAUACAGGGGGAUAACAGUUAGAAAUGGCUGCUAAUACCGCAUAAGACCACAGUACCGCAUGGUACAGUGGUAAAAACUCCGGUGGUAUGAGAUGGACCCGCGUCUGAUUAGGUAGUUGGUGAGGUAACGGCCCACCAAGCCGACGAUCAGUAGCCGACCUGAGAGGGUGACCGGCCACAUUGGGACUGAGACACGGCCCAG